GCUUUAUAGUGGAAAAAAGACGUCAAAUUGCAAAUUUGAAGAUGUAUAAGAUUACUAAAGCUUA
rnacentral:tRNA from 1 species